UACAGAGGGUGCGAGCGUUAAUCGGAAUUACUGGGCGUAAAGCGUGCGUAGACGGUUAUUUAAGUCGGGUGUGAAAGCCCCGGGCUCAACCUGGGAAUUGCAUUCGAGACUGAAUAGCUGGGGUACGGUAGAGGGAAGCGGAAUUUCCGGUGUAGCGGUGAAAUGCGUAGAUAUCGGAAGGAACAUCAGUGGCGAAAGCGGCUUCCUGGACCAGUACCGACGUUCAGGCACGAAAGCGUGGGGAGCAAACAGG
rnacentral:rRNA from 1 species